rnacentral:lncRNA from 1 species
GAAACUGGCCCUCAAAGGACCCCAUGUCAUCCCUUUGACCAGUUUCUCUUUGUUCAACAACCUGCCUUUCCAGUGUCACAAGCCCACUACAGUAAGGCCUCCUAUUGGACUCUAUGUCUCCAGCCUCCAACUAUUUUAUCCACAGAAGCAUCUUUCUAAAAUAGCAGUUCAGGUCAUGUUGUCCUCCUGCUUAACUACUUCAUGACUCCUCAAUGUCUUCCAGAGAAAAUCAAACUUGCUAGCAAAGUACAGAUGGGCUGGGAUCAGCUGGUCCCCUUGCCUCUUCUGCACUAGACCUCUAUGAUACAUUCCCUCUGCGAGAAACAGAAGGGUCACCUCAGAAUACAAAACUACUUCUCCUUCAAGGGUAAAUUACUUCCAAGAGGGCUUCUCUAGUGACCCUGCCAGCUGUGAGGGCUAGCCUUCCACCUAUAGCCCUAACAAGCCUGGUGGCACCUUUGAAUACCCAGAGAGAAAUCUAAAUCCUCAAAUCCAUUUCCUAAAUGGGCUACCAAGCCACUGUACUUACAAACAGAGGCUCUUCAAUCAGUGUAAAAAGUAAUGUCUGCAUACUCAUGUGGCUCAUGAUCAAGACCCAGGGCUGUCUGACCCACUCAUGAUACAGCUCCCUGAUUCUUUUCUGAAACACAUCUUGGUGCCCAAAGUCCAGCCCCCAAGAACAGAAAGAAGUACUCACUGGCUCAGGAAGACCUGAGCCAAGCAAGAUAGGGGAGGGUAUUUCAAACGUCUCUAUAUGAGCAGCCAUACGAAUGGGGACUCAUAUAGAUUCAUAUAGAGUCCCAAUUUCUCAGUAGGUGGGUGGGCGUCACUAGCAGCCUAAGCUAUUCAGAACCUUCCAUAGUAGCACUACUGUGAAAGGCCUCUGAGUCUUGCAAGAAGGGCCUUAAAAAGAUUCUAUCAUGGUUUGAAUCUGAAACUACUUCCACAGGCCUGUGUUUUUUUUAAAGCUUUUUCACCAAUUGCUAGUGUUAUUUUGGGAGGCUCUGGGUCACGUGGGGUAGGCCAUUGAGGGUAAUAUUAUAUUCCCUGGUUCCUGCCACACUCUGCUUCUUGGAUUACCAUGAGGUAAGCAGCCUGUGCCACAUGUUUCUACUGCCAUGAACUAGUCUGUCGUGCCAUCCUCACAUUGGUAGACCAUGAGCCAAAGAAAUCAUUCUCCUGUUUCUGUCAGGUAUUACAUCAUGACUAUGUGAAAGCAACUGACAGGCCAUGAAGCCAGCAUGUAGCUCAAGGACAAUAGGGCUCACAGUACUCAUGAGGUGAAGGCUACCUCAACUCUACUGAACAGUAAGGCAAAGCCCCCGAUGUUGGGCACAGGGGAGUCCUUGGAGAACAUUCCAUCACAGGAGCCCCCAAACAGCCCUCAAACCCCUUCAAUAAAGCACUAAAUGCCUCCUUGUGGAAGACUAGAAGAGCUGAAAAGUAGAGACUGACUCCUACGCUGCUCCUAAAGCCGUGACUCAGACAUGGAUGUCUUCCACAGUUGAAUGACUUGGGCCUAGAGCUGGAGAGGUAAAGGCAUCGAUGACCAUAUCAAGAGCCAGGUGGGGUUGAACCAGAGUCCAAAUUGUAACAUGUGUGCUCUUCAACUGAAAAUGCAGUCAUAUCCCCAUAAGCCUCACCAAUGGAAAUAUUCGAACCAUAUUUCCAACCAUAUCCUUGGUUCCUCUUCUCCCACCAGAGUCUUCCCAGGAAGAACUCAUUAUCCCUCAGUUUAAAUACCACCACCCUGCUAAUGAGACCCACCACCACCCCC